rnacentral:rRNA from 1 species
AACGAACGCUGGCGGCAGGCUUAACACAUGCAAGUCGAACGCCCCGCAAGGGGAGUGGCAGACGGGUGAGUAACGCGUGGGAAUCUACCCAGAACUUCGGAACAACUGAGGGAAACUUCAGCUAAUACCGGAUACGCCCUACGGGGGAAAGAUUUAUCGGUUCUGGAUGAGCCCGCGUUGGAUUAGCUAGUUGGUGGGGU